rnacentral:rRNA from 1 species
UCACGANGAACUCCGAUUGCGAAGGCAGCUUGCUGGACUGUAACUGACGCUGAGGCACGAAAGCGUGGGGAUCAAACAGGAUUAGAUACCCUGGUGGUCCACGCCGUAAACGAUGAAUGCUAGCUGUUAGCGAUAUACUGUUAGCGGCACAGAGAAAUCGUUAAGCAUUCCACCUGGGGAGUACGCCGGCAACGGUGAAACUCAAAGGAAUUGACGGGGGCCCGCACAAGUGGAGGAACAUGUGGUUUAAUUCGAUGAUACGCGAGGAACCUUACCUGGGCUUAAAUUGCAGUGGAAUAACGUGGAAACAUGUUAGCCUUCGGGCCGCUGUGAAGGUGCUGCAUGGUUGUCGUCAGCUCGUGCCGUGAGGUGUCGGCUUAAGUGCCAUAACGAGCGCAACCCUCAUCGAUAGUUACUAACAGGUUAAGCUGAGGACUCUAUCGAGACUGCCGACGUAAGUCGUGAGGAAGGUGGGGAUGACGUCAAAUCAGCACGGCCCUUACGUCCAGGGCUACACACGUGUUACAAUGGGGGGUACAAAGGGCAGCUACCUGGCGACAGGAUGCUAAUCUCAAAAACCUCUCUCAGUUCGGAUUGGAGUCUGCAACCCGACUCCAUGAAGCUGGAUUCGCUAGUAAUCGCGCAUCAGCCACGGCGCGGUGAAUACGUUCCCGGGCCUUGUACACACCGCCCGUCAAGCCAUGGGAGCCGGGGGGACCUGAAGUAUGCAACCGUAAGGAGCGUCCUAGGGUAAAACUGGUGACUGGGGCU